rfam:Ictidomys tridecemlineatus contig094624, whole genome shotgun sequence.
GGGGAUGUAGCUCAGUUGGUAGAGUGCUUGCCUCGUACACACAAGGCCCUGGGUUCAAUCCCCAGCAUCACCA